UCUUACAUGGACACAUUCGGGUGAUGGUAAAAGAAUUUAAAAUAAAAAAGAAUUACAAUAUCUGAAAGCUUAUUCACAGAGGUGUUGAAUAGAGGCUUGGGAGUUGCAUCUCAAGAAAAUCCAUAGUGGCUGGGCGCAGUGGCUCAUGUCUGUAAUCCUAGCACUUUGGGAGGCCAAGGUGGGCAGAUCACUUGAGGUUGGGAGUUCAAGACCAA
rnacentral:lncRNA from 1 species